rnacentral:rRNA from 1 species
GAGUUUGAUCCUGGCUCAGAUUGAACGCUGGCGGCAUGCCUUACACAUGCAAGUCGAACGGCAGCAUGAUCUAGCUUGCUAGAUUGAUGGCGAGUGGCGAACGGGUGAGUAAUACAUCGGAACGUGCCCUGUAGUGGGGAUAACUAGUCGAAAGAUUAGCUAAUACCGCAUACGACCUGAGGGUGAAAGUGGGGGACCGCAAGGCCUCAUGCUAUAGGAGCGGCCGAUGUCUGAUUAGCUAGUUGGUGGGGUAAAGGCCCACCAAGGCGACGAUCAGUAGCUGGUCUGAGAGGACGAUCAGCCACACUGGGACUGAGACACGGCCCAGACUCCUACGGGAGGCAGCAGUGGGGAAUUUUGGACAAUGGGCGAAAGCCUGAUCCAGCAAUGCGCGUGUGUGAGAAGG